CGAGUUUCCCAGGUGAUCGCGGUCGGCGCGCCGACGUUCCCGCGCAAGCGGGGGCCGAGGCCGUCGGUCGAGGAAAGUCCGAACUCCACAGGGCAGGGUGCUGGGUAACUCCCAGGGGGCGCGAGCCCACGGAAAGUGCAACAGAGAGCAGACCGCCAACGGGCGUCGCGAUUCGCGCAAGCGGAGCGCGCGCUGCGGGCAAGGGUGAAACGGUGCGGUAAGAGCGCACCAGCGGUCCCGGUGACGGGGCCGGCUCGGUAAACCCCACCUGGAGCAAGACCGCAUAGAGGGGGAGGAGUGUGACCCGCUCCGUUACCACCCCAGGGUCGGUCGCACGAGGCGUCCGGAAACGAACGCCCCAGAUGAAUGAUCACCACGGAGUGAUCCGACAGAAUUCGGCUUACGGGAAACUCGGUGU
rnacentral:RNase_P_RNA from 1 species